rnacentral:rRNA from 1 species
GGUUAAGCGACUAAGCGUACACGGUGGAUGCCCUGGCAGUCAGAGGCGAUGAAGGACGUGCUAAUCUGCGAUAAGCGUCGGUAAGGUGAUAUGAACCGUUAUAACCGGCGAUUUCCGAAUGGGGAAACCCAGUGUGUUUCGACACACUAUCAUUAACUGAAUCCAUAGGUUAAUGAGGCGAACCGGGGGAACUGAAACAUCUAAGUACCCCGAGGAAAAGAAAUCAACCGAGAUUCCCCCAGUAGCGGCGAGCGAACGGGGAGGAGCCCAGAGCCUGAAUCAGUGUGUGUAUUAGUGGAAGCGUCUGGAAAGGCGUGCGAUACAGGGUGACAGCCCCGUACACAAAAAUGCACAUAUUGUGAGCUCGAUGAGUAGGGCGGGACACGUGGUAUCCUGUCUGAAUAUGGGGGGACCAUCCUCCAAGGCUAAAUACUCCUGACUGACCGAUAGUGAACCAGUACCGUGAGGGAAAGGCGAAAAGAACCCCGGCGAGGGGAGUGAAAAAGAACCUGAAACCGUGUACGUACAAGCAGUGGGAGCCUCUUUUAUGGGGUGACUGCGUACCUUUUGUAUAAUGGGUCAGCGACUUAUAUUCUGUAGCAAGGUUAACCGAAUAGGGGAGCCGAAGGGAAACCGAGUCUUAACUGGGCGUUAAGUUGCAGGGUAUAGACCCGAAACCCGGUGAUCUAGCCAUGGGCAGGUUGAAGGUUGGGUAACACUAACUGGAGGACCGAACCGACUAAUGUUGAAAAAUUAGCGGAUGACUUGUGGCUGGGGGUGAAAGGCCAAUCAAACCGGGAGAUAGCUGGUUCUCCCCGAAAGCUAUUUAGGUAGCGCCUCGUGAAUUCAUCUCCGGGGGUAGAGCACUGUUUCGGCAAGGGGGUCAUCCCGACUUACCAACCCGAUGCAAACUGCGAAUACCGGAGAAUGUUAUCACGGGAGACACACGGCGGGUGCUAACGUCCGUCGUGAAGAGGGAAACAACCCAGACCGCCAGCUAAGGUCCCAAAGUCAUGGUUAAGUGGGAAACGAUGUGGGAAGGCCCAGACAGCCAGGAUGUUGGCUUAGAAGCAGCCAUCAUUUAAAGAAAGCGUAAUAGCUCACUGGUCGAGUCGGCCUGCGCGGAAGAUGUAACGGGGCUAAACCAUG